rnacentral:tRNA from 1 species
UUAAUUGAAACCAAAAUAGAGGUAUAUCACUGUUAAUGAUAUUAAUGGAAUAAAUCCCAAUUAAA